UAGGGAAUCUUCCACAAUGGACGCAAGUCUGAUGGAGCAACGCCGCGUGAGUGAAGAAGGUUUUCGGACCGUAAAGCUCUGUUGUUGGUGAAGAAGGAUAGAGGUAGUAACUGGCCUUUAUUUGACGGUAAUCAACCAGAAAGUCACGGCUAACUACGUGCCAGCAGCCGCGGUAAUACGUAGGUGGCAAGCGUUGUCCGGAUUUAUUGGGCGUAAAGCGAGCGCAGGCGGAAGAAUAAGUCUGAUGUGAAAGCCCUCGGCUUAACCGAGGAAUUGCAUCGGAAACUGUUUUUCUUGAGUGCAGAAGAGGAGAGUAGAACUCCAUGUGUAGCGGUGGAAUGCGUAGAUAUAUGGAAGAAUACCAGUGGCGAAGGCGGCUCUCUGGUCUGCAACUGACGCUGAGGCUCGAAAGCAUGGGUAGCGAACAGGAUUAGAUACCCUGGUAGUCCAUGCCGUAAACGAUGAGUGCUAAGUGUUGGGAGGCUUCCGCCUCUCAGUGCUGCAGCUAACGCAUUAAGCACUCCGCCUGGGGGAGUACGACCGC
rnacentral:rRNA from 1 species